AGAGACAGCCUGAGGGCUGAGAGGAUCCACAUUCCAGAGAUCCUUGGAGGCCAGAGGAAAGAAUGUAGAUUGAAGGGAAGACGGAAGAAAUGUUUCCUACAGAAGAUUAGACUGGGUGAAGGAAGUUGGGAGAAAGACUGGAUUCGGGUAAUGGAAAGAAAAGAAAAAGAAAGAAAAGCAAAGGAAGAGGUGGACCUGAAGAAAAUACAGAAAGAAGGGAUGUCAUCUGGUGACUGCUUGGAAGGAGAAGGUGAAGUGGGAAUCCCUGCAAUUUCAUACCAUGAAGAAAGCUGGUAUUGCUGAGAACCAGAGCCUAGAUCCUCUAUCUGGUACAAUGUUGAAUAGGGGUGGGCUGGCCCCACGCCCCGGGCUUCACCCAACACUGGGCGCAGGCGGGAAGCCCGAAAGGCUGGGUCAGAAGCCCAAGCGAGGGCCCAGGUGGGGCGAAACAGGCGCAGCCAAGGGGCUGGCACCUUGGCCCCCGCCGUGGAUUCAAAGGGUCAGGCUCCGCCCCCUCCAAGCCCCGAGCCCACUUUGAUGUGCUGAUGCGGCCUGGAAGGGGCCACUUCACACCUCGGGCUCGGCAUAAAGCGGCCGCCGACCGCCGGCCCCCAGACGCGCCGCCGCUGCCAUGGCCCAGCCCCUGUGCCCGCCGCUCUCCGCGUCCUGGAUGCUCUCCGCGGCCUGGGGCCCAACUCGGCGGCCGCCGCCCUCCGACAAGGACUGCAGCCGCUCCCUCGUCUCGUCCCCAGACUCAUGGGGCAGCACCCCAGUCGACAGCCCUGUGCCGAGCCCCGCGCGCCCCGGCGCCCGCCGGGACCCCCGCGCACCCACCGUAGGUAGGCGCGGCGCGCGCAGCAGCCGCCUGGGCAGCGGGCAGAGGCAGAGCGCCAGUGAGCGGGAGAAACUGCGCAUGCGCACGCUGGCCCAAGCCCUGCACCAGCUGCGCCGCUUUCUACCGCCGUCCGUGGCGCCCGCCGGCCAGAGCCUGACCAAGAUCGAGACGCUGCGCCUGGCCAUCCGCUACAUCGGCCACCUGUCGGCCGUGCUAGGCCUCAGCGAGGAGAGUCUCCAGCGCCGACGCCGGCAGCGCGGGGACGCGGGGUCCCCUCGGGGCUGCCCGCUGUGCCCCGACGGCUGCCCCGCGCAGAUUCAGACACGGACGCAGGCGGAGGGGCAGGGGCGCGGGCUGGGCCUGGUCUCUGCCGUCCGCGCCGGGGCGUCCUGGGGAUCCCCGCCUGCCUGCCCCGGAGCCCGAGCCGCACCUGAGCCGCGCGACCCGCCUGCGCUCCUCGCCGAGGCGGCGUGCCCGGAAGGGCAGGCGAUGGAGCCAAGCCCACCGUCCCCGCUCCUUCCCGGCGACGUGCUGGCCCUGUUGGAGACCUGGAUGCCCCUCUCGCCUCUGGAGUGGCUGCCUGAGGACCCCAAGUGACAGCGGACAACUGACGCCGUCUCUGUGAGCACCGAGGCUUUUUGGCCUCAGCACCUUCGAAGUGGUUCCUUGGCAGACUGCCUUUCCUGGAAGAGGGCACGGGCGAUCCCGGCAGGGGCAUUCCUGCGGACGGAAGCUGAAGCACAGGGAGCUCGAGGAACUUCCCAUAAGGCUAGUAGUGUGCAGCCCCUGGGGACGGGCCAACUGUUGGUGAAGCCUGUCUUUGCAAGAGCCCUGGCAGCAAGAGACUCAUGAGACCAUAUUUGUCUCCUCCGGAGGUACCGAGAGCCUCCCAGCUACAACGCACUACAAAGCAGGAAGGACUUGAACGCCCCUGUUAAGUACAGGGGAACCUGCUGUACCCCCAACUUCAACCACCUCUCACUACCUGUACCUGCCUGGUGAGCAUGGAGUCUACAUUUUCAGCCCUGGGCUCUCUUGGAGCCUCCCCUGGGGGUCCUGUAGGCCCCUCACCCUCUGCAGGGCUGCACCAGGAAUCACAGACUUUCUCUCCAGGCCUGCAGUGGGCCCUGUAAGGACUGGGGAAUCAGCUCUGCAAGUGAGGAUCAACCGUGCACGCUUCCCUCUGCUUUGGCAACAGCCACAGGUAGCCCAGAAUGUGGAGUCCAUCUCCGAACUGAGAUCUCUCAACUCCCCAUCCCUGCUCUAAAUAUGCUGUUCCCAUUCUCUGACCUCUCUGUUUUGAGCCCCAUCCCACAGAAGGACACAUCUGUAUCCUUCUGCCUAGUGUACAGGACCUUCCAUGGUCUGGCCCACCCGUCUUCCCGCCUCAGCCUCCUGCCUCUCCACAUUCCACAGCAAUCUCAUGUGGCAGGUACUGGGACUUCCUGCAGUGCCCGGGACACGUGGUGCUCUCUUGCCUCCAUGGUGUUGCCUUCUCAACUCCUCUGGCUCAGCUCAGCUGUCACCUCCUCCAGAAAACACAGUCCUCCCCUGCUGCCAACUUCUGCAGGUUGAGUUAGGUGACCCCUCUCUCUAUUCCAUGCAUCCAUUAAAAAAUUCCUAUCACAGCCUUUCUCAUGUUCUAAGGCAGCUGCCUGGUGAUUUCUCUGUCUUCCUAAAUGAGCCAUGUGCUCCAUGAAGGCAAGUUCUUUCUCUUUCUAUUUGUAAACCCGAAAGCUAGUCCAGUGCCUAACACAUAACAGGCCUUCAAUAAGUAUUUUCUGAAGGAUAGAUGAACACAUUCACAGAAGAGAAAUGAGAGG